rnacentral:lncRNA from 12 species
CAAUAGUAUGUGACAACUCUGUGGUUGAGAGCCACAGAUCCAGAUAUUCUAGAUGGAAAUUCUGCUUAUGUUCUUAGCCAAUGCAAAUUAUUUUUAAAGAGCAAUUAAAACCCUGUGCUUUUUUGUUCGUUUGUUUGGGGUUUUGUUUUGUUUUGCCACUUCAGACUCUGCUGAACUUUUUCCUCUUCCUUUAAUUCAGUCUACACCAUGUAUGCUAACAUGGGAUUUACAAACUUGUGUAUGAUUUCUGAUUCUUUUUAAAUGUGUGUCUCUUCAUUCCAGUGAGAAUCUGUAAGCUCCAUGAAGAUAGGAGAACCAUUUGCCACCUCUUCUGUUACCUCUCCCGUGGUUCUGGAAAACGAAUUGAGCAACCCCAUUGAUACUUCAGGAAUCAUUUUCUUAUCAGUGACCUCCUCUGCCACACAGCCAAGGCUGCCACUAAUAGGUAUGCUUAUCUUUGUAUCUCUGGCUUAUUUAAAAAAUAUAAGAAAUUUUGUUGCUUCUCUUGAUUUCAGGCUGAGUUUUCUAUUCUUUAUGAAAGAGGUUAUUAUUUAUAGUCAAGAAAUUCUGAAGUCAAAAAAUAUAACUCUUCCAUUGUUGAGUUCCUGGAUGCCUUUCUCCGAUCAGAGCCGUAUCUCUGAGUAACACAUCACGGGAGUGACAGCUCUCUGGUGAUUUAGGAGCCUGCCAGAUUAUUAGAGCAUUACCAAUGUAAGGAUGUAUUAGUGUAACACAUCAUCAGCAUGUUAUCGCUCUGUGAUGAAUUGCUCCAAAUCAGAACAAUGGCCUACAGAAACUAUGAAUUCUUUUAGAGUUAGAAAUGAAAUCCUGUUUUUUUUUUUGAAUAAGGAAUAAAUAAACAUGAAUGUUCUUUCA